UUUCCAGAAAUGUAGAAAUGAAGCAACCAUUGAAUAAGAAACAACUGGUUGUGUGAAGGAAGAUGAAGCAUAUGAGAUAGACUUGAAAGCAAGUUCCAUAGAGAUGGCCAAAGGAGAACAUGCUUCGGGUAUUACAUGGCUACAGCUUCAUUAUUUUAUUCACAAAUGUUUUACCUGACAGGGUUGAAGCUUUAGUUCUUGUUUCUACACGCAAAAGAGCUCACUAGAUUCCCUUACUCAAAUGCUAGAAAAUAUUAGAAACUGUGCUAAAAGAGCAAGACUUUUAUAGAGUUGAUGAAUUCACGGAGAGUGAUUUCCAAGGACUGUGCUUUGGAUAGCUGCCUGUGUCAGUAAAAUUGCAUGUAAUAAUCAUGCAAUUAGAAUUUGGUGUUUAUACAGGGUGAAGCAAAAUUCGCGCACUCAGGCUUCGCAGCACGACUCCCCACAGGGCAGCAAUAAAAAAAUGUCUCUCUCAAAAUUUAGUCUGGCAAGAACAUCCAGCAGAAAAAGGACGUUAAAAGAUUGACAAUGUGGUAACACUGUAACCACAUGUAUGGUAUAUUCCUCUGUCAGCGUGUAUUAGUUGUGCUGUAUAUGUGGUGCAGUGGGUAGAGUUUUGGGUUAUCAUGCAGAACGACGAUGGUUCGAUCCUGUGUUAGGGCAUAUGUUUUUUAUAUGGUAAAUGUAGUCCAGAUGGUACAGUAUCUGGCAUCUUAAUCGUCAACAGCGAUUGCAGCAGGUCCUCUAGAAAACAUUUGCACUUACAUACUACAAUUGUAGAAAUGGAAGAUUGGUCAGCUUUGAAAGAAGCCCUUUCCACAUUGUGGGCUUGAAUUUAUUUGCACCACUUCAUCUACUAGUCACAAAAGCUGUUUUUCUUUGUACCCUCCUCCAAUGGUCCCAUAGAUUAGUAGCAACUAUUACUCUUGCCUCGUUCAGGUCCUUUACUUUUCGUUAGGGCCUUACGUUAGCAGUAGGACUAGCAACGUGCUUUGCGAAUAAUGUCCAAACUCGGUUACUAAUUGUAUGUGUUAUCACAAUGGUCCCACUAAUUAUGCCUUUCAACACUGAGUCUGGUAACCGCAUGCUGUUUAGUACACAUCUCAAUGCACUGAUAGGACAUUUGUUUCAACUGUCUAUUUCUUAUUUGUCUAAAGACAUAUUUGUUAUGUUCAGCAUUACAAAAUAUUGUAAAUUAAGGAUACAGGUAAGCUAUGAAAUGGUGUAUAUUACAGUAGAAAUGUCAGAAUGAAAUUAGCAAAAAAAAAAGCGCCCCAACCAGGAUCGAACCCUCGACCUCCUGCAUUAUAACCCAAAUCUCUAUUCACUGCACCACAUAUACAGCACAAUUCAUAUGUGCUGACACAGGUAGUGACCAUAUAUGUGGUUACAGUGUUGCCAGAUUGCCACUCUUUAUCGUCCUUUUUCUGCCAGAUGUACUCAGAGAUUUUUUUUAUCACUGGCAUGUGAGGAGUCGCCCUGCAAAGCCUGAGUGCGUGAAUUUUGCUUCACCCUGUAGACACUGUGUGAUCAAAAUUACCUAUACACCGCCAAAAAACAUAAGUUUUUCAUAUUAGGUACUCAUGGCAGAGUGGUUACAUGACAAUAACGUCCCUGUAAUGGACUGGCCUGCACAGAGUCCUGACCUGAAUCCUAUGGAACACCUCUGGGAUGCAGGCCUCACCGACCGAUAUCGAUACCUCUUGUCAGUGCAGCACUCUGUGAAGAAUGGGCUGCCAUUGCCCAAGAAACCUUCCAGCACCUGAUUGAACAUAUGCCUGUGAGAGUGGAAGCUGUUAUCAGGCUAAAGGUGUGCGAACACCAUACUGAAUUCCAGCAUUACCGAUUGAGGGUGCCACAAACUUUUAAGUUAUUUCCAGCCAAGUGUCUGGAUAUGUUUGAUCACAUAGUGUACAUGUAAAUAUAAAUACUUGAGUGUAUUUCUUCAACUAGCCAUAAGUAAUCAUAAACAGUAAAUGUAUGUAACUAAUAUGUGUAAGUAUGUAACUGAUAUUUAAUUGUAAUUUUGUGUGUGUUUUUCACUCAUAAAGCAAAGCUGGUUUAUUAAUUUCA